rnacentral:rRNA from 1 species
UGGGGGAUAUUGCACAAUGGGCGAAAGCCUGAUGCAGCGACGCCGCGUGGGGGAUGAAGGCUUUCGGGUUGUAAACCUCUUUCGCUAUCGAACAAGGCCCGCUUAGGGUGGGUUGAGGGUAGGUGGAGAAGAAGCGCCGGCUAACUACGUGCCAGCCGCCGCGGUAAUACGUAGGGCGCGAGCGUUGUCCGGAAUUAUUGGGCGUAAAGGGCUUGUAGGCGGCUUGUUGCGCCUGCUGUGAAAACGCGGGGCUUAACUUCGCGCGUGCAGUGGGUACGGGCAGGCUUGAGUGUGGUAGGGGUGACUGGAAUUCCAGGUGUAGCGGUGGAAUGCGCAGAUAUCUGGAGGAACACCGAUGGCGAAGGCAGGUCACUGGGCCAUUACUGACGCUGAGGAGCGAAAGCAUGGGUAGCGAACAGG